rnacentral:lncRNA from 1 species
UCCCGCCCUCGCGCCCCUCGGGAGGCUGUAGUCCUGCCCCCGGCGCGGCCAGCCCGCGCUCCCGCACACCCCGCCCGCUCGCCCGCGCGUGUGUACGUGCGCCGGAGGCCUGGAGAGACCGGAGUUUAACGCCCAGUCUUCUUCCUAAGUUGGAGAAAUGGGAAACGAUUUGAAAGCUGCCAACCGGAGGUGAAAAUCUUGCCACUUGUGAAACUGAAGGAACAUCCCCAAGGCCUGGCUUCUCCUUUUAACAGAAGGUGCUCAGAGGAACUUUCCUCUUGCCCACUGCCCUCAUCCUCUAGCAAUUUUCAAAGAGCUUCUGAGGUGCUGAUCCUCCUAGCUAUAGUCUUCGUACUGCUGCCACAAAUUCUUCUGUAAGGAUUAGAAUGACAUAAAGGAGACAGAUCACUUUUGUCUCGGUGGUAGUAAAGCAACCUGUGCCUCUGGCUUUCAGGGGGAAGGGCUGGGCCGCUGUAAAUCUAGUUUUCCUUCCUCUCCUGGGCCAGCUGUGGAGGAGAGGGAGGGAGAGAAGGAGAAGAUAAUCAAGAUCAGCUGUAAAUCUAGUUUUCCUUCCUCUACUGGGCCAGGUGUGGAGGAGAGGGAGGGACAGAAGGAGAAGAUAAUCAAGGUCAGCCUUUCCUGACCCCUUGGUCUAAGCAGACUAGACCUUAUUGGAGAUAACACUUCUACUCAAACAGGGGUCCAUGUGGACCAAUGUAUUACCCCAGCCCCAUGCAGGUCUUGUCAGGUUUCUCUCAAGGAACAAAUAUUUAUCUAACCUAGCCCCUGUUCCAAGUACUACAGGAGAAAUAUCAUUGUCCCAAACUACACACACUCUAGUCUGACCUGUCUCCCACUCCAACUCCCCACAUCUUUCCACUGUAGCCUCUGGAACUUAGAAUCUUCUUCAGCAAAAUUCUCUUCGUUUUCGACUUCUCGAAAUAUUUCUUUAACGUUUUUGCUCUCGCUGAAAUCUACUUAUCCCUCCUUUAACCCCUCUCUCUUCCCUCUUGUUCAGUCUGCUCCUGAGAAGUUGAUGUGACUUGCAUGACUUGGAUUAAUAAAUUUGCAAAUACAACUGGGUAUGCUCACUCAGUUUGACCAUUUUCCUCUUAAGAGAGAACCGCCUGAAGGAAGCAGUCUUCCUCCUCCUUUGCAUCUCUGGGUAAAGUUUCCAUCCUCAUAGGAAGCUGUACCCAAGCUCUAUAUAUAGAGAGCCUAUAUAUAUAUAUAGCUCUAUUUAUCAUAUAUAUAAUUGGCUCUAUUUAAUUUAUAUAUAUAAAUUAUACACACACAUAAACAUACAUAUAUAUAAUAUCUCUUGACACCCUUUCCACUUAUUGCCACCCUAUUUUCCUUCUUCCCUUUAUGCCAAAAUCUUUCCAUUCCAUGUUGAACCUGUUCCACUUUGGCAAAUGACCUCCAUGGUGCUAAGCUGAUGGUCAAUUCUCAAUUGUCAUAUGAAUUGACUUUUCAGCAUAAAUUAACCCGGACACCACUCUCUAUUAUUUCUCUUUCUGCAUUACUGGCUGCUUUUUCUCACUCUCAUUGCUUGUUCCUCUUUGUCUUUUUGACCCCCAAAUUCUGAAGCAUCUUGGAUCUUAGUCAUUAAGCCUCUUCUCCUCUCAAUUUACAUGCACUGUACCUAAAGUGACCCAAUUCAGGCUCAUACAUUUUAGUAUUUCAUUAUUAAACACUAAUAACUUCCAAGUGUAUAUUUUUAACCAGGAUCUAUCCCCUGAAAUCCAGUCUGUCAAAUGCUCACUUUACAUCUCCACUUGAAUAUCUAAUUAUGCCUGAUUCAGCUUGAAGAUAGCAAGGAUAUUGUCACUGCCUCAGAUCCUAGGCAUAGUAUAGUUGCUGGUGCAUAGUAGAUGCACAAUAAACAUACAUUAAUGAAAUGAAUGGAUGUAUCUAGUAACAGUAAUCUGAUAGGUUCUUUUGUAUUUUGCAAUUGUAUUUUUUUUUGAGAUGAAGUCUUCCAAUUUUUGUAUUUUUAGUAGAGAUGUUGGCCAGGCUGGUCUCGAACUCGUGAUCCCAGGUCAUUCGCCCACCUUGGCCUCCCAAAAUGCUGGGAUUACAGGCAUGAGCCACUGCAUCCAGCUAUGUAUUUUGUAAUGGAUUUUUUUGCAUUAUCUUAUUUAAUUCUUACUAAUGACCCUAUAGUUAUAAUAGUUAUCUCAUUUACAUCAAUACAACAAUGAGGAAGGAGAGGAUCAGAAAGGUUGGGUCAACUUCCCAAUACAACCAACAUAGCCAAGAAGUGGCAGUGGUGGUUUGUACUCUAUCGACUGCAUUAGCUGGAACAAUGUUUCUCAGGAUCCUCUUGCCCGUAUGCAUGUAAGUGUAUGCAUGUAAGUACGGUUGGCCCAAAGACGAAUUCUUGCAAGAUUUGGGAAACAGAGUGAAACAGUAUCUAUUCCUCUCUCAAGGUCUUUGUAGUUUGCUGUGACAACACAUGCAGACACCUGGAGGGUUCUAGCAUGUCCUGGCCCUCCCCCACUUCACACCCAGAUCUUCCAAAUUUCCAGCACAGCUGAUCAACAGUAGCCACACACCCAUCACAAGGGCCUUAACAUGGAUCCAAAGAGGCAGUAGCCAGGCAAAGACAAAAGCUUUUCACCGAGUAUUCUUCCAGCUUUCUUUCAGGGUCCCCCUCCUGGAUGUGGCAGGCCUCCCAGAUUCCCCUGGAAGUUCUGACUUGCCCAUACACACAAGGACCUCAGGAAACCCAAUAGUGACUUUCCUCAGAUCUGUGAAUUCCUUCUUCUGGAAAAUAACCUUCUCAACAAUUGUGUAAGUUCUCAUAAUACAUCCCUGAUUCCAUUAUAUUCAUAAUGGUUCCACUUUCAUGAAAGAGUGGCUGGCAGAGCUCAAAUCCAAGACUUCUGGGUUCUUUUCACUAUUCUACAAGAAAUCCAACUUAGGUAGAUAAGAUCUUGAGACAAAUAGCUGCAUGUAAGUGAAAAACUGAAUGACAGUGUAUGAACUACUGAAGGAGAGAUUGACAUUCAAACCGGGCUCUUCAAGGACUAGCAGGAUAUCUACUAUAUGAAGGGUGAAGGAGUUUCUAUUCAGACACAAAGGGAAGAAAUGCUGAAACCCAUUAGGAAAAUUACUAGUAAUAAAAACAUCAUGUAUUGAAUUCCUGCUGUCUCUAACCAUAUUAAAAAUAGUCUUACCAUAGCUGACAAAACUUCCCUAUAAGGUAUGUAAGACACCAAUGUCCUAGUUAGGAAACUUGGCCAUGAUCGCACACCUUCUAAAUAUCAGAGUCUUGACUCAAAUAUGCCUGUGUCUGACUGUAAAGCCCUGUGAAAAAUUAUGCACAAAUGCCUCCUAGCAACAGUAUGAGUUUAAAAAAGCUAGAGUUCUCCCAUCAAGGUGCCUCUCAUUCUAUUUUCUCCCUCAUCUGCCAUCCUUCCACACACCUACCUCUCACCGUGCUCUCUGGGCAGUUAUGACUCAAGAUUGUUCGUGUCUAAUUACUGUUGCCAAGCAAACAUGAAGAAGGAAGGUUCAAGAAAUAGCAUAUUUCACAAUUUUUCUACUGUUAUUUGUUAGUCCUCAUUAGACUACUCAGAAUUUGUGUUACUGUAUAUUGGAAACAAAAUUAUGUCUAUCACCUUAACGUUUCUACGACUUGUAUUUUUCAAAUAUAAACUUAGUGAAUUAGACUAGGUCGUCUCCAAAAACCCAUCAUAAGAUUCAACAUGUUCUCUUUUGUGCUUUCUUUCUAGAUAAUGGAGUCCUUUAUGUUGUAAACAAGAAUAAAAAAGAAAGUAUAGA